CCGCCGUCACAACCAUGGAAGUGUAUUGCACCAGAAGCAGGUAGCCCUGACCGGCAAGGAGGGCGCCUACCACGGUGUGGUCCAUGACUGGGGUG
rnacentral:rRNA from 1 species